CACGUAGGAGGCGAGCGUUGUCCGGAAUCAUUGGGCGUAAAGAGCGCGCAGGCGGCCCGGCAAGUCGGGUGUGAAAUCCCGGGGCUCAACCCCGGGACUGCAUUCGAUACUGCCGGGCUAGAGGUAGGUAGGGGAGAUCGGAAUUCCUGGUGUAGCGGUGAAAUGCGCAGAUAUCAGGAGGAACACCAAUGGCGAAGGCAGCUCGCUGGAACGGUACUGACGCUGAGGCGCGAAAGCGUGGGGAGCAAACAGG
rnacentral:rRNA from 1 species